rnacentral:rRNA from 1 species
UAGGGAAUCUUCCGCAAUGGACGCAAGUCUGACGGAGCAACGCCGCGCGAGUGAAGAAGGAUUUCGGUUCGUAAAACUCUGUUGUUAGAGAAGAACAGCGCAUAGAGUAACUGUUAUGCGUGUGACGGUAUCUAACCAGAAAGCCACGGCUAACUACGUGCCAGCAGCCGCGGUAAUACGUAGGUGGCAAGCGUUGUCCGGAUUUAUUGGGCGUAAAGCGAGCGCAGGCGGUCAAUUAAGUCUGAUGUGAAAGCCCCCGGGUCAACCGGGGAGGGUCAUUGGAAACUGGUUGACUUGAGUGCAGAAGAGGAGAGUGGAAUUCCAUGUGUAGCGGUGAAAUGCGUAGAUAUAUGGAGGAACACCAGUGGCGAAGGCGACUCUGUGGUCUGUAACUGACGCUGAGGCUCGAAAGCGUGGGUAGCAAACAGG